GUAUAUUAGUUUGCUAGGAAUGCUACAAUAAAGUACCACAGAAUGGGUGGAUCCUCCAAUAAAAAUUUAUUUUCCCAUGAUUCUGAGGGGAGAGAGGUUUGAUGUCAAGGUUUCAGCAGGUUGAUUCUGAGGCCUUCCUCACUGGCUUGUAGAUGGCCAUCUUCUCCCUGUGUCUUUACAUGGUCUUCCUUCUGUACCUGCCUCUAUCAAAUUUCCCCUUUUUAUAAGGUGUCUUAGUCCAUUCUCACAUUGCUGUAAAGAACUGUCUGAGACUGGGUAAUUUAUAAAGAAAAGAGGUUUAAUUGGCUCACGAUUCUGCAUGCUGUACAGGAAGCAUGGCUGGGGAAGCCUCAGGAAACUUAUAAUAAUUAUGAAUAAUUAUGGAAGGCAAAGGGGAAUCGGCUUGUCUUACAUGGCUAGAGCAGAAGGAAGAGAGUGAAGGGAGAGGUGUUACACAGUUUUAAACAGCCAGAUCUCACAAGAACUCACUAUCAUGAGAAAAGCCAGAGGGAAAUCUGCCCUUGUGAUUCAAUCACUUCCCACCAGAUCACUCCUCCAACACUGGGGAUUAUAAUUCAACAUGAGAUUUGGGAAGGGAAGCAAAUUCAAAUCAUAUCAUAAGGACACAAUUCACUGGGUUAGAGCCCUCCCUAAUGACCUCAUUUUAACUUAAUUACCUCCUUAAAGGCCCUAUCUCCAAAAGCAGUCACAUUCUGAGGCACUGGGGAUCAAGACUUCCACGUAUGAAUUUUGAGGGAACACAAUUCAGUCCAUGAUAGGGAGGAAGUUAUAUUCCCUUGAGGAAGGGCCUCCACAAGCAUAUGUAAUAAUCAUUCUUUUAAUACCUCACUAAAGAUACCUUGGAGCCUGUAUUAGGGAAUGGAGGGUGCCCAAACUCUCCAGGAUGCUGAUACCAGAGGACCUGAAACACCACCAUAGGAUGAGGGGGGUUAUAAAGACGAGUGGCUUUUCCACUAUUGUAUGUUACACGAUAGUGUGUGAGAGUAAAGGCCUCAUAUGUGACAAAAUUGUUGCAACAAUAGGAAUACGACAUUGGGUUCCUCCAGUGUUAUUAUCAACCUUGCCUCCCAGAGCAUCCAAUCUAAUAGAAACAAGCUAUAUUAUGUUGAAGUCUCAGAUGCCUGGCUUUCUCCACAGAACAGAAUACAUCAACACUAUAUACUCUUGAGCUUCUCAUCUAGCAAUGUUGGACCUCUAGAUAGAAUAUGAUCCUCUGACUCAAGUCAGAAUUCAGUAAGAUUCUGACCAACUUGAUUUGGAUAAGACGCCAUCAUUUGUGGCUAGAGAGAAAUUAACAGAGAAGUUUCCAUAAAACCACAUUUGUAGAGCUGAGAGUUAGAGAGGGUAAAUUCAAUAAGUAGGAGUUUGUUGAGAAUACAAUAGGUCCACUGCAAUAACCAUGAAAAUGUAAAUUAACUAGUAGAGUCUUUCUAAAUGUAUGCUUCAUUUAGUAUUUUAAAUGGGCUAAGUUUUAUAGUACUAUAGAACAGUGAUUUGACUGUCUAGACCUAUUCAUAAAAGUUUUUGAAAGCCAUUUUUCAGUGAGCAUAUUAUAUAUUAUAAUAUAUAGAGUAUCUUUAUUAUUGAGACUAUAUAUUCUUUAGAAAAGCUCUUUCCAAUAGAAAUAUGUGAGCCACAUAUGGAAUUUUCAGUUUUCUGGCACACAUUUUUAAAAAGUAAAAACAAACAAGUGAAAUUAAUUUUAAUGGUAUAUUUAAUUUAACUGAAUGUAUCCAAAAUAUUAUUAUUUCAAUGUGUCACAUUAGCUACAUUUCAAGUGUUCCAUGCAUCUAUGGGUAAUGGCUGCCCUAUUGGAUGGUGUAGCUCUAUGAUGUAUGGUUUAUAUAACAUAAAUGCCUAAACUAUAUGCUCUGUCUAUAGGUGUGUAUAUGUAUAUUCUAUGUAAAUAUAGAAUAAAUUUAUUCUAUAGGUCUAUUCUAUAUUUUAUAUAUUCUAUUGUUAUUACUGUGUUUAUGUAUUAUACAUAUUGUUAAACAUACACAUUUUUAAGAGAAUUACAGAAUGAUUUACAUGAGUGUAAUUUCUAAUGACUUCACUCACACGCCAACACAUCAUGGUGAGUGUUUAUGAGUUUAGAGAGCACUGUGGUAGAGAUUUAGUUC
ensembl:lincRNA